UACGUAGGGACCAAGCGUUGUUCGGAUUUAUUGGGCGUAAAGCGCGUGUAGGCGGUCCGGUAAGUCCGCUGUGAAAGUCGGGGGCUCAACCCUCGAAUGCCGGUGGAUACUGUCGGGCUAGAGUGCGGAAGAGGCGAGUGGAAUUCCUGGUGUAGCGGUGAAAUGCGCAGAUAUCAGGAGGAACACCAAUUGCGAAGGCAGCUCGCUGGGACGUUACUGACGCUGAGGCACGAAGGCCAGGGGAGCAAACGGG
rnacentral:rRNA from 1 species